rnacentral:tmRNA from 1 species
GGGGGCGUACAGGGUUCGACGGGGAUAGUUGAAGGCAAGAGUUGCAUAUCGAGUUCCACUGGCUCGUUAAACGAGUGGACAAAGACAACUGCUGACACUCAGUUAGCAUUAGCUGCAUAAAGGCAGCUACGUUCCCCCAUUCCCUUCCUGCGGGGGUGGGAGAGAGCGCCGAAAAGCAGGAUAGUUCGGCGAUGAGUCUAUGGUCGUCGAAUGAAACUAAAACAUAGGCUAUCACCCUUUAGAUCCUGCCUGCCGGAGUUAGGGGGUGAGAAAAUAAAAGACAGGCUAAAUAUGUAGAAGCUCUUGACUGAAUAUUCCCGGACGCGGGUUCGAUUCCCGCCGCCUCCACCA